UGAAUGCGCGUAGACAAGCGAAUCUCCUAUUACUCUCCAGUCUCGCGACUUGGCUUCCAAUAGGAUUUCUCUCGCUAUAGGUCACCGCUCGCAGCGUCGCCGCCUCUUCUCUCUCUAUAGGUCACCGCUCGCCGCCGCCCCUCCCCGCCGCCGCCUGUCAGUCGGUAAGCCCAUCCAAUCUCACUUCGCAUCAGAGAAGAUCAGAACAGUUACCGGCAAUUUUUAGGGUUUUUGCAUAUUGUCUUCAACUUCGUAUUUGUUUUCUAGGGUUUCACUCUGAAAACCCUUUGAACAUCUGCUCGCUAUUUCUGUGUUCAAUUCUCGUGUAUUCUAUCAGAUCCGUGUUUGAUUGAAUUUAGUUUUCGAAGAAACAUAUAGAUAUUCUUGGAGUUGAUUGGGUGGUUUUUAGGGUUUGAUUUGUAGGUUAGAAAAUUUUGAGGACUGUUAGGUUUAGGGUAUAUGGCGGCAGGGAGACAUGGUGUUUAUCGGGAUGCGGAUUUCAAGGACCGAGAGGCAGAUUUUGAAGCUUCGAGGCGGGAUAUUCCGUAUUCCAAGAGUGGGUAUGAUAGAAUUAGAAAUGGUGAUCACGAGAACGAAAGGGGCCGGGUUGGAGGGACAAGGGAUAGGGGUAGGGUUAGACAGAAAGAUGUGAAGGAGAAGGAAGUAAUUAAUGGUGGAUAUCGAUCUGGUUCAAGUAGGAGUGAUUCAGGUAGCAGUGGUGGACCAAGGCGUAGUGGGUUCUCAGCAAGAGCCCUGGACAGAGAGCCAGGUGAGUUAUCAAGUGAAAGUGGGUCUGAUGAGGGUAUUGAUUCAGAAUCCCAGGUUAAAAAGAAUGAGCCUUUGAAGUUAGAGAAUGGAGCUCGGUCUCCUGGUGAGAGGAAGAAGAGGAAGUUUUCACCAAUUGUUUGGGAUAGAGAUGACAAGGAAGUCAGCAAUACAUCAAAAAAUAGUGUUGCUCCUGCCACCACUGCUCUUCCUCCACCUCCACCACUGCCUAAGUCCUAUCGUCAGUCACCUAAUGUCAUUCCAGAUGGAGGCGUACAAAUUUCUCAAAUAAAAGUUAGUAAUCAACAGUAUUCAGAACCUUCUCCUGCUAAGCCUCUUGUAGAGAUUAAGACUAAUGUAUCUGCUGUAUCUGAGUCCCCAGUAGAUUCUUCUCCACAUCAAGAGCUCUCAUGGGGUAACUUCCAGGAAACAGAACAAGUAGAUGAUGAAGAUUAUAUUCCGGCACGUAAUAUAUCCACUUCUAGGUGGGCAGGUGAUGCCAACUCCCCAGCUGAUGAAGGGGAGAUUUCUGAUGAAGAAAUGCCUAAAAGAAGGAAGAAACUGCCGGUUUCUGGGAUAGUGGAAUCAAGGAAACAGAGUAAAUCAUUAACUCCUGAGCAAGGGGAGCUUAAGAGAGAAGGUUCUGAAGGAUCUAGGGGGAGGUCAUCUGAAUCCGAUGGAGGUUACCGUGCUAGGUCUUCAGGUAGAGAUGACAACCCUGCUGAUGAUUUUGAUAAGAACGAUUACAUGGAUAUAGAUGAGGAACAUGACAAAAUCGGCACAAUUCUUAGCCAGUCAGAUACAUAUUCUGAGGAUGAACAUGAUUCUCGUGAUACACCAGAGCCUGCUGUUCCACCACAAAGAACUGUAAACAUGCUUCAGGGGUGUAGAAGUGUUGAUGAAUUUGAGAGACUGAACAAGAUAGAUGAAGGGACUUAUGGGGUUGUGUACAGAGCUAAAGAUAAGAAAACUGGAGAAAUUGUUGCACUGAAGAAAGUUAAAAUGGAAAAAGAAAGGGAAGGUUUCCCCUUGACUUCACUGCGGGAAAUAAACAUUCUUCUUUCUUUUCAUAACCCAUCAAUUGUGGAUGUUAAGGAAGUUGUGGUGGGGAGCAAUCUUGAUAGCAUAUUUAUGGUGAUGGAAUACAUGGAACAUGAUCUCAAGGGGUUGAUGGAGGCGAUGAAGCAGCCGUUUAGCCAGAGUGAAGUUAAAUGUCUGAUGCUGCAGCUAUUGGAGGGUGUCAAAUAUCUCCAUGACAAUUGGGUGCUUCACAGGGAUUUGAAAACAUCAAAUUUGCUCUUAAACAAUAGGGGUGAGUUGAAGAUCUGCGACUUCGGGUUGGCUCGUCAAUAUGGGAGCCCAUUAAAGCCGUAUACUCAUCUGGUGGUCACUUUGUGGUACAGGGCACCUGAGCUAUUAUUGGGAUCUAAGCAGUAUUCUACAGCAAUUGACAUGUGGUCUUUAGGCUGUAUAAUGGCUGAACUUUUAUCAAAGGAACCAUUGUUUAAUGGGAAAACAGAGGUUGAUCAACUAGACAAGAUAUUCAGAACCCUUGGCACGCCAAAUGAGACUAUUUGGCCUGGGUUUUCUAAACUUCCUGGGGUAAAGGUGAACUUUGUCAAGCACCAGUAUAACCUAUUGCGUAGGAAAUUUCCAGCUACAUCUUUCACUGGAUCGCCAGUUCUUUCUGAUGCUGGAUUUGACUUGUUGAACAAGCUUCUUACAUAUGACCCUGAGAAGAGGAUAACAGCUGAAGAUGCUCUGCGUCAUGAGUGGUUCUGUGAAGUUCCUCUUCCCAAGUCUAAAGAGUUCAUGCCUACUUUUCCAGCCCAACAUGCACAGGACAGGCGUUUGCGAAGGAUAAUGAAAAGUCCUGAUCCUUUAGAGGAGCAACGGCGGAAAGAGUUACAGCAGGCGGAACUGGGGACUGGUGGUCUGUUCGGCUGAUAGAAAUGAGCUGUGUAUUUGAGGCCUUUGAUCUCCAUUUCGGUUUUCUGCAGUUCUCAGAAAUUGACAAGGUUCAACCAUUGAGGUGAGAGCGGUGAUUUCAGAGGAAGUUGCAAACAUUGUUCAUGAAACAAUCAUUCAUGCUGUUUUUUAGCAGGCACAUGUGAGGAUUUCGAUGGAGAAACAUAGUUCUCUUGCUUUCUAGUCAUCACAACUGUAGCAGAACAUUAUGGAUUUACGACCUGCUAUCAGAUAUAUCCUUCUUAAUUAUCGUGUUAUGUUUGCAAGAGACGGUUGGUGUAAAGCGGAGGGGGCAUUCUUAGCUUUUCAUUGAGGAAGAAAUUGACCAAAACUAUUCCACAAUGAAGUAUCAUAGCAAAAGCAGGUUGAGGAGGUUACCUUCACAAACUGGAAUAGAUAGAAUUUCAAAUUAUGUUUUCCCUUCUCCAGAAUUUGAUUUUGUCUCUUCAAGCUCAGUAAAGGUACCUUAUCAACCCUUAGUUCUUCUCCAUAAUUAACGUGAUUGUCCUUUUUUUUUUUUUUUCUUUUUUUUCAACUGCUGGAUUUAAUCUAGGAUUUGGGUAUUGGUAGCCCUCAGUUUUAUUUUUUUUAAAUCUUGUGUACAUUAUUGACAUGAUUGUUCUUUUCUUUUUUCCAUUACUAGAUCUAGUCUAGGAUUUGGAUGUGUCUUCAUUUACCAUGGCAUACAACUAAUAUCAAUUAUAAUAUUUUUUCUUGUUAUCCAUAAUGUCCUUUCUUGAUUGUAUGCCUUGGUAUCAGAGAGGAGUUGGGAUGUUUUAUAUCGAGGGUGCUUGGCUUAGCAGUUUGACCGCUUAUAAGCUAUUAGUGAAGCUUAAAUGCUGCAUAGCUUAUUUAGUUACACGUUUGUUAAAAAUUAAAGAGUUUAAACGUUGUUAAGCUUAAAACUCUAUUUGAAAUCGUUUUAGAAAAGCUCCCCCCCCCCCCAAAAAAAAAAAAAAAAAAAAACUUUUCUCAAAAUGUUGUUCAUAGCUUAUUUAGUUGAUCAAGUAUUUUACAAUUUUACCCUCCAACAUUUAUCAUAUGUUCAACCUUAUCCCUCCUUCAUUCGUCUGCCUUCUCUAUUUUGCUGCCUCCCUCCAACUCCUCUGUCACUAUCACCGCAUCUUGCCUCCAGCCCCACUGCCGUUGCAACCGUCGCCUCCAGCUUUGCCCGCCACCUCUAGCUCCUCCAUUGCCACUCCAGCUUCUAGCAAAUCCAUAUAUUUUUAAUAAUUGUAUUAAUAUAUUUUUUAAUAAUGGUAUAUAAUUUAUCAACAUGUAAUUGUAAUAAUUUUAUCAGUUGGACAUCAAUUUAUAAUUUAUUUUUAUUAAAAAUUAGUAUUUUUAUGAAUUUUAUUUGUAUUAUUCAGCAACAUGUCCAUUGUAGUCUUUUUGUUAAGUUCUAAUAGCUUAUCAGUUUUUUUAAACCAAAUACAUAACUAUGUACAUGAUAGCUCGAAACACAUUUAUCCAAACACGUUAUUAACUUAAACGCUAGCAAGUUUUAAAGCUUUACACAGCUUUAAAGUAGAAAGGCUUAAAAUCCAUCUUAAAAAAGGGUAAACCAAACACCCUCAUAGUCUGAAAGCCUGUGGUAUAGGUGUAGGUGUUGCUUUUGAAAAAAAGUUCUAUGUUGAUUUGGUUUUUGUAGUUGAAUAAAAAGGGGGGUGGGCGGGCAUAAUGUGCAGGUUAAAUGUUGUUCUGAAGCAAAAACACUUUGUGGGUGACAAAAACUUUUCAGAGAGAAUAUUUUUAAAAAGCAAUGUCCUAUGACUUCUAUUUAUGUGGAUUUGGUGCUUUAUCUGUAUAAACUGAUUAGGUCAAUGCAGUGAUUCCAGUAGUCAGCUACAGUAAUAACUAAUUUGAUGAUGGUGUUUAUAGUGGUAGUUGUCCUGGAAAGUAAGAUAUGUAUUUUCUAUCAAUUCAUGGAGUUCUUUUUAAUGUUGAAGUGGUAGACAUCUUGUUUAGAAAUUUGUUUGAAAAUUAUACUCCAUGCUCAUACCAUGUCACCAGGAAUACAAUUGCAGUUCUUGGUUCCAAAGGGCCCAAGUUUUCUAUGGAGGAUAUGAUUUAUGAUACCAGGUUCUUUCAUUAUGUGGUAUAAAAUCUGAUUUCAAUAUUGGACUUGUUUGACGUGAGAACAUUAUUAAUGACAUUGGCAUUUUAUUUUGUAAAUUCUCUAUUUUUGUGUGAAUCAGCUAAGUAAACAUGGUGAUAUAUGUAUAAUAAGAUUUGAAUAUUUAUAGGUCUGAUUGUGGUCAUUUGUGAAUAUGAUUAUGUAUUAUAUCAUUUGAGACAAGCACCCGCUCAAUGUUUUACUUGUUUUAAUAUUAAAUGAGUAAGAAGCAGGAUCGUCUCUAAAUAAUGGUGCAUGUGUUGAGUUCAUGUUAGGUAGCGCUAAUUUUUGGACACUCCAUAUAUAUAUCAAACAUGCAUAGUAUGCAUCCAAUUACUUUCUCUCUGUUUGUUUUUUUUCGUUUUUUUUUUAAUAUCGGACAACAGUCAGCAAUUACAAGGCUUACAUAUACCUUGGACACUUUGCAUAAGGUUCAAGAAAUUAAGUUGGUACCAUAUACAACAAGAACAACGGUAACAAGCCUUAAUUUCACUAGAUGGGAUUUUCUACACGAACUGUUUGCCUCCAACCAUCUCUGUCCAUAGAUAUAUCCUCUAUAAUACCAUUAUACUGUAUGCCAUGUUUAAGGGUUUCCCGCCAAGUUUUUUUUUUUAAUGGUAUUUGCAUCCUUUUGCUACAAACAUCCCCCAUUUCAUCCACUCUCACAAGUGCAUGUAUUAGUCUUUCAUUCACAUGUUCCAACCAUCUUUAAAAGGUGCCACCCAAACUAUAUUACAUGUGAUCUUGUUUCCUAGUGUCCUUUUUUUUUUGUAAUAUGACCAUAUAUCCAUCCACUAUAACAUUUUCAUCCUAGUCAGUUUCAUAUUUUGCACAUAUUGGUGUUUAUUGCCCAACAUUCUGAGUCAUGCAACAAACUGUCUUUUGGCUUUCCAAUAGAACUUCCUUUUAGCUUUAAAGGGAUUUUAUGGUCUCGUAAAGUGUUGGAGGCACUUGUUUCUUCAACCAUAACGUCUUGACUCUACGAGUAACAUGCUCCAUAAUCUUCUCAGUUUUUUUUUUUUUUCUUGAACAUUUGGUCCAAUAUACGGAAAUUUAUGUUUUUCUUUUUUGAGAUAACUUGAUCUCUAGAGCCCACAAAAACAUCAUCCACACUUGUAUUUUUACUGAACUUCAUGUCAUAAUUAUUUUUUGUCCUAUCUGGUUUAAAACCUUUGGCUGUAAGGCAUUUCUCCAUAAUCCAAGUAUAUAAUUUACUCCUCCUUUUGUCUCGUCUAUCAAGAUAAUAUUUUUUGUAGAUAACAUACACCAAGGGGAUUUCUUUUCGAUACACUCUUUCAAGGGAAAAUAGAUAAGAAACUUGCAAUUCCUUGAUGUAUUCCAAUUGAAAUUGGGAAAACUUUUAUAUCUCAUAAGUCCCUAACAGACCUUUACUGCUUGAUAAUACAUAUCCUUAAUAACUUGUAUACAAGUUGUGUGAACUCUUUUUGUUGAUCUCUGAACCUUUCAUUAUGCUAUACAUCUCAGUAAUGUUAAUUUCCAUUCUUGACCAUUAGGCAUGAUAUCAAAUUGAUUAUUAGAGACCACAGUUUUUCUUAUUAACCUUUGUUCAACUACUCUUCUAAAGUUAUAAUAGCGCGACUCUUUAGCUUAAUCCUUCUGUAAUUUUCAUAGUUUUGAGCACAUUAUUUAUUCUUAUAAUUAGGCAUUUAAGUGCUUUACUGCUUUUUCUCCACUCUUUUAACAUACUUUUUGAUUUAAGGAUAUUAAUAUAUUAACUAAUUUUGUCGACUGAAAAAUGUCAUCUUCUCCCAUGCAUUCCAUCAGAAUAUUAUCUGGUCCAACUACCUUACUAUUUUUUAUCACUUUGAAUGCUUAUUUUAUAUUGUUUUGGCAAAUACAUUUACAGAACAUGUAAUUCCUAUCUUUUUUGUAGUUACUAAGAUACCCCAACAUCACACAUGUUUUUCCACAUUCAUGAAAUAACUUCAAGAAACACUCCAAUUUUUCCUUGAUGCCCCUUCAUUUACUGGUACUUUUUGAUUUUACUCUUUUAAGCAUUUAGUUGGCUCAAGUAUCUUUUUUUUCAUCUUUUAUAUAUAUAUGUAUAUUUACUUCCCUGUCCUUUCUACAGUUCAUGUAAAAUUUCAUAAAUGUUUGAAUUGAUUUGCUUAACUACUAGGGGUGUGUAGAUGGUCAAAAAAAUCAAGACAUUGAACUGAAGUUUCAGUUUGGGUUUUGUCAAAACUGGUUUGGUUUUGGUUAUUAGUGUUGAUAUGCUGAAUCAAAAACUGAACAAUGAAAAUCAAGAAGAGGCAAAAAGUGCCAAUUGUUAGACAGAUCUAUUCAUUACCAUGGAAGGAGCUUGGUUUGACCAUUAGAAUGCCAGUGGCCACUGCCACUGUCACGUCCCUCAUCUUCCUCAUCUUUCAAAAAAUCCUGUUAUACCUAGGGUUACUGGAACUAUUUUCUUGGACAGUAUAUGACACUCACACACUCACAAUCCUCACGGUUUGGACACAAACAUCACAACAGAUCAACAUAAACAGAAAUUAAAAGAAUUGACAAAAGAUAAAGUUAGAGCAAUCAAACCAAACAAGAACACCGAGGAUUAUCCUGCUUCAAACUGAUUUACAUCAGUCCUACAUCCAGACUUUAAAGAGAGCAAUCCACUAUAAUCUUGAUGAAGAAUAGUACAAUCAAUCACUUGCACAUCCCCACAACCCUCACUGAUACACUUGAGAACCCUCACUGCAGAUUACAAAGCUCUCUCUCAAACUUUCCUCUUACAGUACAGCACUCGAAUCAAUGAGAAUGAUCAGAUUUCCAGUCAUUCGACAGACUACCUAUCGCCUCCUAUUUAUAGACAUAAGAGGCGGUAGUUACAAGAGAGGGAGAACCCGUAAUAAAAUACCCUAUUUACCCCCCACUUAAAUACAUGCAAAUUAGACUUUUAUUCCUAAUUUACCACUGCCGAAAAAUAAUCUAGCAUGACCGAGAUCUUCUAGAUUAUUCAGCCACUCAAAUAACAAAUCCCAAACUACUAGCUGGAUCAGCUCCAUUUCUUUCUCCUUUCCAUGUUCCAGUUAUAUAUUAAUAUAUGUGUAAUUGUAUAUUAUACUCUUCUUGUGAACAGAGUUUACGCUUUGUCUACCCAUUACCAUGUAAAGUUGGGACUUGGGAGGCACACUCAGCUAGAAGAAUCCAAAGCCAUAGAAAAACCCAUAUAUAAUAUUAGCAAAAUCAACUGUGUGCGUAUAAACUGUCUCUAAGAAAUAUGACCCCUGUUGUAUGAUACCGUUACACUAUUCUUCACGUACUAAUAUCUAUGAGACUCUGCAUCUCCAUCCUUUAACAGUGUGGGGGUAACUAAUCGUGGAGAAUAAGCAGCAGUUAUUUCAGUAUAAAAAAAAGUUGUGGCUUGGUUAACCGUGAAACUGGACCGGAAAAAAAGAAAAAAAAGAAACUGAACCAAGGUGCCUGGUUUCAGUUUGGUUUCGAUGUGAAGUCAGUUUCAAGGCAUUUAAAAGCUGAGCAGUUUGGUUGGGUGUUUUCUUAAAACCUGGAGUUUCCACACUACUGAAUGCAUUCUUUUCUUUUGCCAGAUACCUGUUUAGUUUUCCUUUGUUACAGGGUUAUGUGAACUCUUCUGGCUAGUUUUCUUGGGUUUGAUUUAUUUAUUUUUUGUGCCUGUUCAUUCCACUUGUAAGUUUUGGAGAGUUUCACUUCAACUAUCUUGGAAUCGUUUUUGUUGUAUUUCAAAUAGCAGUAGCUGCUCCUAUAGUCCAAUUUUUACUGCCAGAUACUUUAUUAUUGAAGAUAACUGGAUUCACCUUUUAAAAUUCCAUCAUUUGAUUAUUGGGUUCCAUAUUUGUAUCAUCAUGUCUCCAUUUUUUCAUGUUAUGUCAAGGGCUAUAGGCCCAUGUUAAGUAGUUAGGUAUUCUGCCAGUGUAACUUUACAAUUCUUAUGACAAAUGGUUCUCGUCUUGUAAGGAAGUUAACUAUUUGGGUAUAUAAUAAGCCAGUUUUAUAUGUAACCAAAUGUUUGUCUUGGUUCUAGGUCUAAUGAUGUUAGCUAUGAUCAUUCCAAAAUUCGAAAUAGUUUUGUCCUCAUUAUUUCUUUCUCCAAAUUUAUAACCUCUUUGUAUGUACCUCUCUCUCUAUAUGCAUUAACUUCUUUGCUCAGUGUCUGCUUAAAUCACCUCUUAUAAUGAUAUUUAUUCUCUUGGUAUUUUCUUGUAUCAACCUCUCAAGAUCCUCACAAUUUUUUGUUUUUUUUUUUAAUCUUUCCUAGCCUAAUUUGUGCAUAUAAAUUAACAAUAUUUUUAGUAUCUUCUCCUAGAACAAAUUUAGCUGUAAUGAUGCUAUUUGCUAUUUUCUUCACAUCCCUUACUGCAUCUUUUGAAAUCUUUAUCCAUAAUGGUUCUGACUCCAUUUCUUGCACGAUCUUUUUUGAGAAUCAAAGUUUUUUUUCACUCUACCAACAAUUUGGCCUUGCCUCCAACCCAUAUUUUUUGCCAAGAUGCACGUAAUAUGACUUCUUCUCUUGACUGCCACGCCACCUUCUUCUAGAGAUUUCCUGUCAAAGUCCCCAUUUUCUACAACCCAAUCCUUAAUCUUUGAUCGUGGACUAACUUCUUUACUUGACCUGUCUACGAAAAUGUGAAAAUUCUUGCAAAUUUAACGCUGUGUGUGGGCAUUGAUGCAAUGGUCUUGGCUCAUUUUUCACCACUCAGAUCAAUAUAGUGCAUUUCUUAGAGGGUUAUCCCCAUCCAUUUUUACUUUGUACUGGAUGAUACAAUGAGCGUUUGCAUGAUAUGUGUUGAUCCAUCCUCCAGAGUUUUGAAGUUUAGGAAUUCUAGAACUGGACGCUUCCAAAAUUUGUUCAUUAGUAUUGUUUUCUUAAAUAAAUAGUAGGACUUCUAUAUUCACCCCUCUUCUAUGUCCUUUUUCUUUUUUAAAAUUAAAAUAUAGAAAUGCAUUUGUAGGGAGCUGGCCUUAGUAAUAAUAGUAAGGUUCCUUUGUGAUUGGAAGGUCAUGGGUUUGAGCUGUAGAA